UACGUAGGGACCGAGCGUUGUCCGGAUUCAUUGGGCGUAAAGAGCUCGUAGGCGGCUGUUCAAGUCGAACGUGAAAACUCGGAGCUCAACUCCGAGCCUGCGUUCGAGACUGGAUGGCUAGAGUCUGGUAGGGGGAUCUGGAAUUCCUGGUGUAGCGGUGAAAUGCGUAGAUAUCUGGAGGAACACCGGUGGCGAAGGCGGCGUCCUGGACCAACACUGACACUGAUGAGCGAAAGCCAGGGGAGCAAACGGG
rnacentral:rRNA from 1 species